UACAGAGGUCCCGAGCGUUGUUCGGAUUCAUUGGGCGUAAAGAGCGUGUAGGCGGCCAGGUAGGUCGGUUGUGAAAACUGGAGGCUCAACCUUCAGAGGUCGACCGAAACCAUCUGGCUAGAGUCCGGGAGAGGAGAGUGGAAUUCCUGGUGUAGCGGUGAAAUGCGCAGAUAUCAGGAAGAACACCCGUGGCGAAGGCGGCUCUCUGGGACGGUACUGACGCUGAGACGCGAAAGCGUGGGGAGCGAACAGG
rnacentral:rRNA from 1 species